UACGGGGGGGGCAAGCGUUGUUCGGAAUUACUGGGCGUAAAGGGCGCGUAGGCGGCUCGUCAAGUCGGGCGUGAAAUCUCCGGGCUUAACCCGGAAAAGUCGUUCGAUACUGUUGAGCUAGAGUGUGGAAGAGGCUACUGGAAUUCCGUGUGUAGCGGUGAAAUGCGUAGAUAUCAAGAGGAACACCUGCGGCGAAGGCGGGUUGCUGGGCCGACACUGACGCUGAAGCGCGAAAGCUAGGGGAGCGAACGGG
rnacentral:rRNA from 1 species